rnacentral:rRNA from 1 species
UUUAUGGAGAGUUUGAUCCUGGCUCAGGAUGAACGCUGGCGGCGUGCCUAAUACAUGCAAGUCGAGCGAACAUC